UACAGAGACUGCAAGCGUUAUUCGGAUUCACUGGGCGUAAAGGGUGCGCAGGCGGCCGUGUGUGUCAGGUGUGAAAGCCCGAGGCUCAACCUCGGAAUUGCGCCCGAAACUACACGGCUAGAGUAUUGGAGAGGGUAGCGGAAUUCACGGUGUAGCAGUGAAAUGCGUAGAUAUCGUGAGGAACACCAGAGGCGAAGGCGGCUACCUGGACAAUUACUGACGCUCAGGCACGAAAGCGUGGGGAGCAAAAGGG
rnacentral:rRNA from 1 species